UUUGAUCCCAACAAUGCAACAUUGUACUCAAACAGGAGCCUUUGUCGGCUUCGCAUGGGCGAGGGGGACAAGGCUUUGUUGGAUGCUAACAAAUGCAGAAAAUUGCGGCCUGACUGGCCAAAAGCCUGUUACCGGCAGGGUGCAGCUCUGAUGUUGCUCAAGGAUUACAAGGGUGCACGCGAACAUUUCUCGGAUGGACUCAAGUUGGACCCGGCCAACACUGAGAUGGAGGACGCAUUACGGUAUCCCAUCUGCCUAACUGUUUUUUUCGUUUGGGCAGAACCUUCAUUGGUUACAUUAUGA
rnacentral:rRNA from 1 species